GGGAACAACCGCUAAUCUGUCAUAUGAAUCAUUAUGACUUUGUUGUUCGUAUUGCAAAGACUUCUUUUGAAUGUACUUUCUCUGUCCAGGUAAAACACGAACUUGAACUGGCAGAGAAGAAGUUUCUGUUCGCCAAGGGAAACCUUGAAAAUGAUAUUCAAGCUCCUAAACCAAGAAGCUUGAAGUUGAGGUUCUUGACAAAGGUAUCUGUUCCUGUACUUACUGGAGUGAAAAUUAAAGGAGAUGAAGGUAAUUCUAUUGAAGUGGUUCUAGUUGAUGAUAAAACUGGAGCAAUUGUUGACUCUGGACCAGAAGCCUCAGCUAAAGUGGAAAUAGUUGUUCUUAAGGGAGAAUUUGGAGGUGAUAAUGAAGGUAAUUGGACAGCUGAAGAGUUCUGUAGCAAUAUUGUGCGAGAGCGGGAAGGAAAUCAGUUUCUUCUUGCAGAAACUAUACAUGUGAGACUUCACAAAGGCAUUGGUUCCAUAGAUAAAAUCAGAUUUAAUUUACACAUUCUUCAAUCUAUAUGAGGACGGGGAUGUUCAGGCUAGGUGCGCGAAUUGUUGACACUUUCAAUAAUAUUCAAGUAAAAGAAGCAAGGACUGAAUCUUUCGCUAUCAAGGAUGGGCGUCAGCUAUAUAAUGAGAAGCGCGAUCCACCAUCUCUAUCCGAUGGGGUAAAGCGAUUAAAAAACAGAGGUAGAGGCAGGACGAAUCGCCUUCGGGGUGAAAAUGUCAACACUGUAGAGGACUUCUUGAUUUUGCUCCUAAAAGACCGUGAGCGACUAGAAUGUACUUAAGCUAAAGCCAAAGAUGUUGGAGGAGACAAUUAACCAUGCUCGAAGAUGCAUACUUAAUGAACGGAUAUACUCUUACAUUGACUCUCAAGAAAAGGAAGGGGUAGUUUUUAACAUUGUUGGAGAGGUGCACGGACUUAUUCUGGAGUUCCAAUAUCUACCUAUGUAUCGAUUAUCUGAAAGUGAUAAGGCACAAUUCUUUUUAGACCAAAACUUCCUCUGCUGUCUCUUUCCUUUUGUUGCUCUUAUCUCACGUUGUUUUCGUCCUAUUUGUGAUUGAGAUUGACAGGCUAAUGCCCAGAGACUACUGGAAUCUGCAUGUGAACAUUGGGAUCAUGUAAAACCAGUUGAUAAUGAGACGUCUCUUGUGCAACAUCUUUCUCAAUUAUCACCGACCAAGAGCCCUUCGAAUUCUCCAAGCAGAGAGGUUCCUAACACCAGUAACGGUGUGGAGAAUUUUAGAAUAAGUGAUGGACACUGUUCUACCUCAUUUCAGCGCAUGUUUCAUCCGUCAUUCCAGCCAGAGGUCCAAGUGCAAUCAGUCAGAAUGAUUGGGUUUCUGCCAGUAUGAGUAACCUGGAGUUCUCUAACUCCCCAAUAUAUAGUCCUUCAGUCCAAGAUUUUUGGAUUGAUCCAUACAACUACCGGAUUGAAGACUACUACUGGAUUGAAGACUUACUUUGUGAAUUAGAUACUCAUCGACAGCAUGAUGCUUCUGCCUCCAACGUAAAUGUGCAUAACCAGUGGAAAAUGUUGCUUACUAUAUUUAGACAAUCCUCAAUGAGAAGAAGAGCUGCAGCAUUAACGAAUAUUCAACCUCCGAAGAAGCAGAAAGUCUUUUGAUUCUGUUGCUUUAGCCUGUUAGUAAACAGUUUGACAACAGUUGAUAGGAUACGUCUCAGAGCUCCUCAUCACAUACAAGGAAAGCAUAACCUUCCCUGCAGAUACUAGUUACACGUUGUUCUGGUGCUGUAAUAGCUGGGAUUCGACGUUUCAAGAGCUGCUUUGAAGUCUUUAUUUUUUAACCUGUGCUUCACUUUGCAUUUCUCGAGUUAAUUUGAGAGGUAAAUUUCUUGCAACUGUAGCGAACAUGAAGGAGGGCUGAGAUAAAACUUGGUGAGGCAAGACUUUGUGUUCAGAUUACUUGCUGCAGAUGUGGACGAGAUGCAUUCACUAGAACUGCAGAACAAAAAACUAUGUUAUCUGCUACAUACGAGGAAAAUGGAUUUCCAUUGAGCACCUCUUAUCUAUUUUACUAGCUGAGCUUGAAGUGUAAGAAACUGCAGUCUAAAUCUUCUCACCAUUGGGAUAUCUCACAAGGUAUUACCUAUUGAAUGCUAUUGCAGUUAGGAUAUCUCACAAGGUAUUACCUAUUGAAUGCUAUUGCAGUUAUCUCAUAUGACGUGUAUUACACCUUCUAUAUCUUCUUUUUUAUCCUGCACUCUUUUUUUUUUUUUUUUUUUUUAAGUUUAUUUUGUACUAGUUUUUAUCUGUCUCUCCGUUUCUGAUAUCCUCAACUACCACUAGUUCGUAAAGUUCUCUACCAGAGAGGUAGAGACUCAAGAAUUUGUUCUGCCUAUCAAUUCCACUCUUAAAACUUAAUGCUGCUUCAAUGCCUUCUCUAUUGAUGUUUCCUCGUUGGCUGAAUUGUCUGACUUAGAAAGAUCAUACAUGUUGACUUAUUUUGUUAUUAUUCCUCACAGAAGGUCCUUAAGUCCUGAAAACGAGAAAGUUAUUAAUAGCGGUUAGUAUUCUAAUCAGGAAUGUUUUAUAUGUACAGAUGAGUCUGAUUAUUUUGUGAGCUUCCAUUUAUGACUAGUUUGACAUGAGGUUUCAAGUAUAAGCAUUACCAGAAAAAAUCGAACUAAACAAAGAAGAAGCUUUUGAUGGUCAUAAUUAGAUGUUAUCCUUCAGCAUUCUAAAACAUUGAACUCUGCGUGAU